GACAGAGGGUGCAAACGUUGCUCGGAAUUACUGGGCGUAAAGGGCGUGUAGGCGGGAAGGCAAGUCGGGCGUGAAAGCCCCAGGCUCAACCUGGGAACUGCACUCGAAACUGCCUUUCUUGAGUGCCGGAGAGGAAAGCGGAAUUCCUGGUGUAGAGGUGAAAUUCGUAGAUAUCAGGAGGAACACCAGUGGCGAAGGCGGCUUUCUGGACGGUAACUGACGCUGAGACGCGAAAGCGUGGGAAGCAAACAGG
rnacentral:rRNA from 1 species